rnacentral:ncRNA from 1 species
UAAAAACCGUUGAGCAAGAGAAGUACGAAAAAUUGGGUGUAUCCAGAGAGCUGCGAGUGGUGUGAUGCAGUAGCAUAGAUUUUUCUGAAUGGGCUUGCGAGGGCAGCUUGAAACUGUGAUCCAGGAGUAGACGCUGACGGGAACCUCGUCCGUUAUCAGCGGGGUGCAUAUGAUGGUAUGCAAAAUGAGGUGGAUGAUAUUUAAUCAUCAAUUUGGGUGGUAGCGCAGAAGUUAAAAGCUUUUGUCCCUUUA